GACGAACGCUGGCGGCGUGCUUAACACAUGCAAGUCGAACGGGAUUUAGUAAACAGAAGCCUCGGUGGAAGAUUACUAAUGAGAGUGGCGAACGGGUGAGUAACGCGUGAGCAACCUGCCUAUGACAGUGGGAUAGCCUCGGGAAACCGGGAUUAAUACCGCAUAAAAUCGUAGAAACACAUGUUUCAACGGUCAAAGAUUUAUCGGUCAUAGAUGGGCUCGCGUCUGAUUAGCUAGUUGGUGAGAUAACAGCCCACCAAGGCGACGAUCAGUAGCCGGUCUGAGAGGAUGAACGGCCACAUUGGAACUGAGACACGGUCCAAACUCCUACGGGAGGCAGCAGUGGGGAAUAUUGCACAAUGGGGGAAACCCUGAUGCAGUGACGCCGCGUGAACGAAGAAGGUAUUCGUAUCGUAAAGUUCUGUCCUAUGGGAAGAUAAUGACAGUACCAUAGAAGAAAGCUCCGGCUAAAUACGUGCCAGCAGCCGCGGUAAUACGUAUGGAGCAAGCGUUGUCCGGAAUUAUUGGGCGUAAAGGGUACGCAGGCGGUUUAAUAAGUCGAAUGUUAAAGAUCGGGGCUCAACCCCGUAAAGCAUUGGAAACUGAUAAACUUGAGUAGUGGAGAGGAAAGUGGAAUUCCUAGUGUAGUGGUGAAAUACGUAGAUAUUAGGAGGAAUACCAGUAGCGAAGGCGACUUUCUGGACACAAACUGACGCUGAGGUACGAAAGCGUGGGGAGCAAACAGG
rnacentral:rRNA from 1 species